UAAAGGUUUGGUCCUAGCCUUACUAUUGGCCCUUAGCAAAAUUACACAUGCAAGCCUCCCCCUACCAGUGAGAAUGCCCUUCAAAUCAUAAAUCUGAUUAAAAGGAGCGGGUAUCAAGCACGCCAAUAAGCAGCUCAUAACGCCUUGCUCAACCACACCCCCACGGGAUACAGCAGUGACAAAAAUUAAGCAAUGAACGAAAGUUCGACUAAGUUAUGCUAACAAAGGGUUGGUAAAUUUCGUGCCAGCCACCGCGGUCAUACGAUUAACCCUAGUCAAUAGGCCAACGGCGUAAAACGUGUUAAAGAGAAUUACUUAACUAAAGUUAAAAUUUAAUUAAGCUGUAGAAAGCUAUUGUUAUUAUAAAAUAAACUACGAAAGUGACUUUAUUACCUCUGAUUACACGACAGCUAAGACCCAAACUGGGAUUAGAUACCCCACUAUGCUUAGCCAUAAACACAGACAAUUAAUAUAACAAAAUUGUUCGCCAGAGAACUACUAGCAACAGCUUAAAACUCAAAGGACUUGGCGGUGCUUUAUAUCCCUCUAGAGGAGCCUGUUCUAUAAUCGAUAAACCCCGAUAGACCUCACCGUUUCUAGCUAAUCCAGUCUAUAUACCGCCAUCUUCAGCAAACCCUUAAAAGGCACACAAGUAAGCACAAUCAUACGACAUAAAAAAGUUAGGUCAAGGUGUAACCUAUGAAACGGGAAGAAAUGGGCUACAUUUUCUUUAACAAGAGCAUUUUACGAAAGACUUUAUGAAAUUAAAGACCGAAGAGGAUUUAGUAGUAAAUUAAGAAUAGAGAGCUUAAUUGAAUAGGGCCAUGAAGCACGCACACACCGCCCGUCACCCUCCUCAAGUAACUCUAUUUAGACACAACAUAUAACUCUGCCCUAAUACAAGAGGAGACAAGUCGUAACAAGGUAAGCGUACUGGAAGGUGCGCUUGGAUAAA
rnacentral:ncRNA from 1 species